GGUUUUCUGUUUGACACUGGCUUCAUAUUCAGCUUAAUCCUGACCAAGAUUGUACACAUAGAAACGUUAUAAUUGAGCAGUAUUAAUGCUGGGCCAUACCGUCGUUGAACGAACGUGACAACACCCAACACGGCAAAUAAGGAAAACUGUGACAGAUUUAUUUGCAUCAACAAAUCACAAUAGAAGUGCCUAAGUAAUCAAUUAUAAUAUUGUUUAUUGGCCCAGGUGGACAAACAUACAUUUAAAAGGUAUAUCAGGUGUAGGAAACUACCUGGAUGCACUGUCGAGAGUCGAUGUAUAUAACACGUUAAUAACAAUUAAAUACAUGAUAUUUAGCGGAGAUGUUGUUCAUAAGACUUCAUAUAGCACCCUGUACCUGUAUAUAUUAAUCAAUGUUCAAGCUGCAAAGUUAUACCGCAAUGACAUUUUCAAUGUUAUACACAGAAAGAUUCACAAUAACUGGUUCCACUUCAUUACUGCUAUUCCAUUAUAAUGCAAAAGCGUAAUAACUGUAUAUAUAUAUCAAUUAUGGGUAGUAAUUCACAACAUAUUGUUAUCAACGGUAACUGACUACGCUAAUUAGGAUGUCUCUCCAAUGGUGUUUGUAUACUAAGUAGAUAUAUCUACUACUGUAUACAAAGACACGCAAAUCUGAGAAAACAAUCACUUCUUAAAUGAGAGAUAAAUGGAAGCUAGUUGUGAUGUUUUCCAAAUCUAAAAUUCCCAAUAGUUCUUUGUUGAGUUGGUUUACAAAUCAGUCGGGCGAUGGGGAAUACGUGGUGCUGAAGGUGUUCCUGAGAGGCAAAUAGAAGUUGUUUUUUUAUUCAGGGGCAAGGAAAAGCCCUGAAACGUUGUGUAUACAAUACAAAGAAGUUAACAUGCAUACUAUUUUGUCUUAAACACACUAAUUUUAUUUCA